rnacentral:rRNA from 1 species
UACGUAGGGCGCGAGCGUUGUCCGGAAUUAUUGGGCGUAAAGAGCUCGUAGGCGGCCUGUCGCGUCCGCUGUGAAAACCCGGGGCUCAACCCCGGGCUUGCAGUGGAUACGGGCAGGCUAGAGGCAGGCAGGGGAGAACGGAAUUCCCGGUGUAGCGGUGAAAUGCGCAGAUAUCGGGAGGAACACCGGUGGCGAAGGCGGUUCUCUGGGCCUGUACUGACGCUGAGGAGCGAAAGCGUGGGGAGCGAACAGG